GGGCAGGAUAGGGAAGACGGAUUGUAAACAAAAAAAUUAUUACUACAUUGUAUUGUUUUAAUUUUUAAUAUUAGAUUGAAAUUCAAAUAAAAAUGGUAAAAGUUAUGGAAAAGAAGACUUCAAGAAUCCAAUCUGCACAGACUACAACUGUAUCUACCUCAUGUGCUACACCUGUAUCUACCUCUUGUGCUACACCUGGUAAGUUAAACAACUCUUUUUAAUGCGCACAAAUUUCUCAUUGAUUGCAAUGUUGAUUUUUAUAAUGUAUUUUUUACCUUUAAUUCUUUCUGCGUGUGCUACGCCUGUUACAUCUUCAGCUGUCACGUCAAUUCCAUCUGCACCACCUUCAAACAGUAAAUUUAUGAAUCUGGAAUGUCUCUGAUUGAUCGAGUUC